CUGCCUUGUACAGGGGAAUAGCCCAGGGAAACUUGGAUUAAUGCCCCGUAGUACCGUGGCCCGGCAUCGGGAUACGGUUAAAGCCUUCGGGCGGUAUAAGAUGGCCAUGCGUCCCAUUAGCUAGUUGGUAAGGUAACGGCUUACCAAGGCUACGAUGGGUAGGGGCCCUGAGAGGGGGAUCCCCCACACUGGUACUGAGACACGGACCAGACUCCUACGGGAGGCAGCAGUGAGGAAUAUUGGACAAUGGAGGAGACUCUGAUCCAGCCAUGCCGCGUGCAGGAAGAAUGCCCUAUGGGUAGUAAACUGCUUUUAUACGGGAAGAAAAAAGGGUACGUGUACUCUACUGACGGUACCGUAAGAAUAAGGACCGGCUAACUCCGUGCCAGCAGCCGCGGUAAUACGGAGGGUCCGAGCGUUAUCCGGAAUUAUUGGGUUUAAAGGGUCCGUAGGCGGGCCGAUAAGUCAGGGGUGAAAGUUUGCAGCUCAACUGUAAAAUUGCCUUUGAUACUGUUGGUCUUGAGUUAUAGUGAAGUUGCCGGAAUAUGUAGUGUAGCGGUGAAAUGCAUAGAUAUUACAUAGAACACCGAUUGCGAAGGCAGGUGACUAACUAUAUACUGACGCUGAUGGACGAAAGCGUGGGGAGCGAACAGGAUUAGAUACCCUGGUAGUCCACGCCGUAAACGAUGGAUACUAGCUGUCCGAGGCCUUGAGUCUUGGGCGGCCAAGCGAAAGUGAUAAGUAUCCCACCUGGGGAGUACGUUCGCAAGAAUGAAACUCAA
rnacentral:rRNA from 1 species